rnacentral:rRNA from 1 species
UGAAAAGAACUUUGAAAAGAGAGUUAAAAAGUGCGUGAAACCGUUAGAGGGGAAACGGAUGCAGUUAGCAAUGCCUCAGCGAGAUUCAGGUGGACGCCUGGUCAGACGUGUAGUGUAUGGAUCCGCAUGGACUGUCGCUGUUCGGCCUGACCUUGUGAUCAUCGCACUUCUCGUUGGGGCGCGUCAACAGCUGCUCUGUCUGAGUGACAAGGCGUCCAGGAAGGUAGGCGCGUGCUUCGGCAUGUGCUGUUAUAGCCUGUGGCGAUACUAGCUCGGACGGGGCAGAGGCGAGCGGUGCAUGCUCUUCUUCGGAGGGGCUGGCGACCUUCUCUUGAUCUUGUGUCGACCAUGGCGGACUGCUUGCAGUGCGUCUGAACUGCUCGAGGUCAUUCGGGAGGCCAACGCACACUAUGCACCUCGGUUGUUGGCGGCCAUAUGGCUUCAUCUGACCCGUCUUGAAACACGGACCAAGGAGUCUAACAUGUGCGCAAGUCUUGGGGUGACUGAAACCCGAAGGCACAAUGAAAGUAAAGGCUGCCUAGCAGCUGAGGUGAGAUCUUCGUUCUACGCGUGCGAGGCGCAUCAUCGACCGACCUAUUCUACUCUUAGAAAGGUUUGAGUAAGAGCGCAUCUGUUGGGACC